UGGCAAUUGAAAGGAUAGAGACUGAAGAGAUAGGAAGACUUUUCCCUACGCAUUUUAUUAUACUUUUUAAAAAAAUUCAGAAUGGGUUUUGCUUUACUGCCCAGGCUGACCCAGAAUUCCUGGGCUGGAGUGAUCUUCCUGCCUUGGCCUCUAGAGUAGCUGGGACUGCCGAUGGGAUUCCACAGUGCCACACUGUCAGGCUUUCUGAUGUUUGAAUCACAUUAGUGUAGGCUUCUCUCACUGUUGAACCUUUUUUUGUUUUUUUCUGAACUUUUUACUAACCGAAUUACUAAUUCCAAAUUCUCAGGAACAAACAGAUUUGCUUAAAAAUUAACAUCCCUCCCUAUCAGAAUAUUUUGUACCUAGUACUCAAACAAACAAGGCUUUAUAACACGAAACAGAUGUUACUAAGACCGAAAGUCUCCCCUUGCCGGGGAGUGUGUGGCUCUGUACAAUCCUGACCUCCUGCCAGGCCCUACCUCCUGGGCCUGUCCCGCCUCAUCUCCCUUUUCUGGAACCGAAGCCCCAAGGACGGCGGGCCUUUGCUCUCCCCAUCCACACGGGCUGGUGGCCACAGCCGCUGGAGACAGCGGCACCUGACAGCCUCCUUCCCGGGGGGCACUCAGCGCGGGUGGAUGACCCCUUGCUGGGUCUCCCUCUGAGCAGGACGGGGGACAGAAGUGGUCCCAGGAGAUCGCGCAGGGGCUGCUCCCAGCCCUGGCCUCGGCCUCAACCCCCACCCCUGUGGUCCUCUAAGAACCUUCCCCGCGGUCCCCGCCCCGUCCCGUCCCACCCUCUGCUCUGCAAGUGCUGGGUGCUGCCCCGCCCGCUCCAACCUCCUUCUCCCCGGCGCUGGUCGGGUCGGUCUGGAGGGCCAGGUCUGACCGUGAGGCGUUGGCGUUGGCCGGACUGGCUGCGCCGGACGUGGGGCCGCCUCCAUCCAGUCAAGGCGGAGCCGGCAGCCAGCGGCCAGGGGCUGGAGGCCCAGGCGCUUCCAGCCAUGGGCAGGGGCUCGCUGAGAGCUCCGGGAUUGGCGGUGCCGCGGUGGCUGCUGUCACUACUGCUGCUGUCUCGGGGGCCAGUGUCUGGCGCUUGGUUGCUUCCAGGAAAUACUUCUGGAGAGCCAGUCACCACCCCCUGGGUCCUGGAUGGACAACCCUGGCUCACCAUCGUCCUGAAAGAGCCGAUCUCGACACUAGACUCAGGCCUGGUGGCCUUGGAAGCUGAAGGCCAGGAGUUCCUGCUUGAGCUGGAGAAGAACCACAGGCUGCUGGCUGCUGGUUACACAGAAACCCACUAUAGCCAAGAUGGCCAGCCAGUGGUGCUGGUCCCCAACCACAUGGGCGAGACACUUCUGUGGGCUCUGAGGACAGGGUGAGGGUGCUGGGGAUGGCACCUGGGAUAGCUCCUCACGAUCCCUACCCCAACCCUCCAACUCCGUUCCUAGGGGAAGUUGGAGCCACCCCUCCCCUCCCCUUCCUGCUCCCGUUCCCUCUUGGCUUCUGCCCUGGCUGAGGUUUGGGCUCAGGUUCCUUCCUCUCCAGGACCACUGUCACUACCACGGAGAGUGAGGGGCUUCCCCAACUCUUCGGUUAUGCUCAGCACCUGCUCUGGGAUGAGGGGCUUGAUCAGGCUCAACAGCAAUGCCAGCUAUUACCUGCAGCCCCUGGCCACCUGGAGACCCAGAGGACCUCUCAACCCACAGGACUUUCCGGAUGGAGAGGCUGCUCACCUGGAAAGGGACCUGCCAGCUACAGUGACCCCCGAGGACAAAGGGGGCAUGGCCAGGCUUCGUCCUGCCCCUCAGAGCAGGGAGAGGCGAGAAGCCCCCAGGGGCCAGAGGUACCUGGAGCUAUACGUAGUAGCCGACCACCCCCUGUACUUGACCCAGCACCGGAACUUGAACCAUACCAAAGAGCGCGUCUCCUGGAGGUUGCCAGUUAUGCAGACCAGAUCCUCAGGACGCUGGACAUCCAGGUGGUGCUGACAGGCCUGGAAGUGUGGACAGAGCAAGACCACAGCCGCGUCACACCCACGCCUGGCAACGCCACGCUCUGGGACUUCCUGAAGUGGCGCGGGGGCUGUGGGCACGGCUGGCCGCACGACUCGCGCGCAGCUACUCACGGGCUGCACCUUCCGGGGCGCCACUGUGGGCCUGGCGCCCGUCGAGGGCAUGUGUCGCGCAGAGAGGCUCGGGCGGUGUGAGCACGGACCACUCGGAGCUCCCCACCGGCGCUGCGGCCACCAUGGCCCAUGAGAUCGCCACAGCCUGGGCCUCAGCCACGACCUCGAUGGCUGCUGCGUGGAGGUCGCGGCAGAGCAAGGCGGCUGCAUCAUGGCCGCCGCCACGGGUACUCGCGGGCUAGGGCGGGGCCUAGGCUUAUUCCUCUGCGUGCUGCUUCACGUUAUCCCUCAGUUUCUCUUUUGUAAAAUGGUGGUGGUGACAACCACUUGUCCUCAUGGUUGUUUAUGAGGCCUCAGUGGAAGAAACGCAGGUAAAGUGGAUUCUCACGAGUAUGAAGAUUUUGAGAAAAACCUAGCAAGGUUGCUCCAACGCCGGAGCAAACGGCACGCGUAGGGCUGCGGUGUGGCUAACGCCAGGCCUGAGAAUCCAGGCUGAGUGCGGGCUGGGGUGUCCUGCGCUCCCGACGCCUCCCCCCCGCCCCUAGGCACCCGUUCCCGCGCCUCUUCAGCGCCUGCAGCCGCCGCCAACUGCGGGCCUUCUUCCGCAAGGGGGGCGGCGCGUGCCUCUACAACGCCCCAGACCCCGGGCUUCAGAUCCCGCCCACGCGCUGCGGGAACGGCUUCGUGGAAGCGGGCGAGGAGUGCGACUGCGGCUCUGAGCAGGUCAGGUCCGCCUGCCCGACCUCUGGGGACCGAGCCUGGCCCUCCUCCAGCGGUCAGGGGCGCGGUGCCCGCAUCUGUUCCAGUUUCACUUUUCUGGCCCCAGAAGUGCCCAGACCCCUGUUGCUUCGCCCACAACUGCUCGUUACAUGCGGGGGCCCAGUGUGCCCACGGGGACUGCUGCGCGCGCUGCCUGGUGAGGGCGGGUUGGUCCUGGUUGGUUGGCGCCCCCUGGUCCUCUAUGAGCGGGUCGCCUGGCCCUCGCGCCGGCUCCCCAUCUCUGAACAAGCUUGGCUCAGAUCUGUCACUGUCCAUUGACUCAACCGGGCCCCUGCGCAGCUGAAGCCAGCUGGCUCGCCGUGCCGCCAGGCUGCAGGAGACUGUGACCUCCCUGAGUUCUGCACUGGCUCUUCCCCCACUGUCCCCCGGAUGUUUACCUGCUGGACGGCUUGCCCUGCGCGGGAGGCCAAGGCUACUGCCUGGAUGGCGCGUGUCCCACGCUGGAGCAGCAGUGCGCACAGCUCUGGGGGCCUGGUGAGAGCGUGCCCUAGCAUCUGGCCCCUCCUCGGGUCUGCCCUUUCCUCCCGUAGGCAGGAUCUGCUGAGGAACUGAGGCUCUCAGAGCGUGGACCGGGCUGGGGCUUCGGCUGCGCUGCCCCAGUGCCCCUCUUUGAUCUUCAGGCUCCCGCCCAGCCCCCGAGGCCUGUUUCCAGCUGGUGAACCCCGCGGGAGACGCCACUGGGAAUUGCGGCCAGGAUGGCUCUGGCCGCUUCCUGCCUUGUGCUCAGAGGGACACUCAGUGCGGGAAGCUGCAGUGCCAGGGCGGGGAGCCCAGCCCCCUAGUGCCACACAUCUUGCCUGUGGAGUCCACACUUCACUUAGACGGCCACCAGGUGGCUUGUCGUGCAGCUCUGGUGAUCCCCGAUGCCCAGCUGGACUUGCUGGACUUGGGCCUGGUAGAGCCCGGCACCCAGUGUGGUCCUAGAAUGGUGUGCCAGGACAGGCGCUGCCAGAACACUUCCUCCCAGGAGCUGGAGCGCUGCCUAACUACCUGCCACAACCAUGGGGUUUGCAAUAGCAACCAUAACUGCCACUGCUCUCCAGGCUGGGCUCCACCCUUCUGUGACAAGCCGGGUUCGGUGGCAGUGUGGACAGUGGCCCAGUGCACCCUGAAAAUGGCGACACGUUCCUUCUGGCAGUGCUCUUCAGCUUCCCUGCUCCCUCUGCUCCCCUGGGGUGGGCCUGGCCUGGUGCUACUCCGGCUCCUGGGCUCCACCUCCAGCGAUGCCCCGGGGCUAUAGGAGAGACCAGGAAUGCAGUGGGCCCAAAGAUGGCCCUCUCAGGAACCAUAGCCUGGGUGGCAUUUACCUUGCGCAGUUGGGGUCCGUGGCCAUUGGAGACCCCCAGCCCCUGGACCCUGAGAACUCUGCCCAAGUUCAGCAGUCACCCUGAGAAGCCUGUGCCCUGCUGCCCUUUUUGAUCUACAAGGUAGGGUCAACUCCAAUGCUGAGUCCUCUUCCUCCCAUUGCUCAGCCACUGAUGUCCGCAUCUCAGGCAUCUGGGUUUGGGUUAAAAUGGAAAUGAGACAUCACUUCUUGGAGACCAGGAUGCUAGAAGUCCCUUGGGGCAAGUAUGGGGGAAGUUGUGGUUUUUCCUGGGUCUUGGGUCAUUACUGAAGGGAACAAGGGGUCCCUGCCACAUGAUUUGCAACCUGGGGCCCCAGCCCUUUCUUCUGCAUUAGAAUCUCAGCAGGUCAAGUCUAGACACCAAGAUCCUAUCUGUGGGGGAAAGGUGGCUCCUGAGAUGAGUAGACAGGUGACCACUGACAGCCAUUCCAGGAACUUGGAUCCCAAGGACAGACACAGCGAGUCAACUGAUCUCCUGCACCUUCUGAAGCUUGGAGGUUUCUUCCUGCCUUGUCAAGGAGCUCCAGGACCCAAGCUUCAUCAGAAGUUGCUUGAUGUUGUCCCUGCUCUUGAGGGCUGGGGCAUGCUGGGUACAGCUUCCAGCCCAAGAAUCCAUCCACAAAGGAUUGAAGGUCCCAUAGUCCCCAACCCCCAGCAGGGGAGGCCUCUGUCCUGGGAGCCUGGCUAUGUCUGCUUUGUGCACUUUCCCUCCAUGCAGCUCUCUGGAGGGCAGGGACUCCUGAGACUCAACAUUUCUGAUGGAGCCCACAUUUCCUGGAGCCUGGCCCUUGCAAACAAGCAAGCAAACAAAAUCUUUGAUAUCUCCUUUCUGGUCUCCUCCUACCCGUCCUGUAUCCGGGAAGCUUCUGUAGCCCCUACCCUGACUCCCAGUUCUCCAUCUGAGGUUGUAGAGGGUGUGGCCUUUUGCAGCCCUCUUCACUUGGACUUUACUCAGUCCUCCAUUCUGUAGGAGAGGCCUGAGGAGUCAGGUCAGGAAAGACAGUGUAGAGUCAGAAGAAAGGCAGGCUUCCUGGUGCCUCUGUGAAUCUUUUCUGUUGUAAAUUCAACCCUUGGGGUGUCCUGAGGGGCCACUUGGAGUGAUGUGGUGGGUGGAACCUCCAGUGGUAGCCAGGACACCUGGAUUCAGGAGGGUGUUGCCCAGGUUGAAUUAUCCCUUUGCUUGUCCCUCCUGUCCCUUUGAACAUUCUUGUCUCCUGUUGCUCAUGCCAGAGUUGCUGAGUGAUCUGUAUUAGGCAGCUGUUGCUUUGUAACAAAACCACCUCCAAAACUGAGUUGCUUAAAACAACAGGCAGUACAAUCAUACUUCUGAGGGUGUGAAGAAUUGGAGAAUCUUUGCUGUCUACCAUUGGGAUCCAGAGAAGCGGCAGCCCCAGCUCAUCUAUAGAUUCGUCAUGGUUCCAAUAAACAUCCCAAGACAGUUUUGGUUUUUUGGUGGGGCGGGGGGCUUGACAAACUGCUCCAAAAAUGGACAUGGAACAGCAAAAAUCCAGGAAAAACCAAAAGAAAUUAAAUUAAGAAAAAAGGCCGGGGAUUUAGUUCAGUGGUUCCACCACCUGCCUCUCAAGUGCAAGGACCCAAGUUUGAUCCCAGUACCAAAAAAAUAAAAUAAAUUAAGAAUAAAAUAAGGAACAUUUGGAUGAUGGUAUCAAGAUUUAUUGUAAACUUCUAGUACAGCCAACAGUGAGGGCCACUGUUACUUCAUUACUUACCCUCAAUGCCCAAGCACGAGGGACUAAAUGCAACUACUUUAUGAUGCCACUUCUGUCUCACGGGUACCUGUGGGAUUUUAGUUUAGUGAGAACCCAGAGAAGUUAAGGCCUCUGUGAAAGAAGGUGCUGCUCAGUUCCCUGGAGAGGGAGG
rnacentral:lncRNA from 1 species